ACUGCAGCGGAGCUUUCGGAAGGGCCUGGGCCAGGGAUGGUGAUCGUGGAGGGUGUCGAUCGCCGAAAGAGCAUGUGCCACAACAUCCCACCAGCACAAUCUCUCACCAAUCUCCUCCACAGUGCGGCAUUCAUCAAUGCCCCGCUUACCCAUGUCCCGCUUUACCUCAAUGCCCGUUAUGGACAUCACCCCCCUCAUAUUUCGGUUUUAGCCUCCUAGCUUUCCACUUGUAAGUGGACGUUGUUGGAUUCUCAAUUGUCCCAGCUGUUGUUGUUCUUUUCGUUUUUGGCCCGUUUCGGCGUGCGAGGUGGAGGAUCGUGACGGUUUUCGUUGCUCCCACAUGAUCCAUCACCUCUGGUACCGUUGGUGAUUUUUGAGCCUGGUUUGGGUUUCAUGAGUUGGGGUUUUUCUAGGGUUCAUGAAUGGAUGCGGUGGAUUGAAUGUCAUAUUAAGAGAGAGGCUUUGACCUAUGGGGGUCUUAGUGUUUUUUGAGGUGGGAAUUAGGAGUGCGCGAGGUGGUGUUUGAUGGUGCCGAACGUUGGAAGUCGUGUUGGAUGGUUUGAAGAUGAGAGUGAGUUUUGAAGCUUAGGAGGUUGGGGACAAAUGCUGAGGUUUUUCUUCGAUGGGCUCGUUCGGUUCGGCUGCGGAGAGAGGCUCCCACACAGUCAUGAAGCUGCAAUUCGUUUGCACAAUUCUUCUCGGUCUUAGCAUUGUUUUGUUCUCUGUGUUUGCCUUUUCUAUCGGUGUGAUCGACAGUAACAGCCGGAAGUUGUAUAACCAGCGACCACCAUGGCCAACCUCCGAAAGCCCCGUCAGUAUUCAGAGAUGGCGGGUAUUGCAAAGCAGCGGGGUGAAGUCAAAUCUGCCUCCCAAGGCAGACAUACUCGCGGAGAAAGCGCUCCAAGGCAUGGGAACCUUGUUUAGAAAAGGCACUCAGCACAUGCAAGAAUUGAUAGUCGCGCACCUUUCUGAAAACACUAGUCUCGAUAGUCUUCGACUGUUUCUCCGGACGUUGCACCGGAGCGGCGCCACAGCACGGGCGGACGUUCUGGUACUUUUUGCUGGAGUUUCUUCAGGUUCUCAUGGAGAACAUUGGGAAGUCUUCCAGGAAGAAGAAGAAAACUUCCAGAAGAUGUUGGCUCUGUUUGAUCCCAAGAGCACUGCGAAGCGAAGAGCGUCGGAUAUAUCAAAUUCAACUCUUACACCUUUUAAUUCGGGGGUGUUCAAGCGCGCAUCAGAAGAGCAAGCGCAAUCUGUCCGUGUGGAUGUGAUAUGGGGCAAUCGGUCAAAUAACUCACAAAUGGAUGCCAAAGAGCAGGGCUGGUCUAGCUAUGGGAGCAUCGCAGGUUUCGAGAUGCAAGACCUGGACCCUACCAACGUCUUGAGCGGGUUUUUGGACGAUCCUCCAGCACAGCUUCGCCGCUGGGUAUGCUAUGAAAUGUUACUGGGAAUGGUUAAAUCAAAGUACCACAAUGUGCUUCUGACGCAAGUGAAGGGCGUUGCCUUUGUGGGUGAUGCGCUCGCCGCUAUCCGUAGGCGACAACAUUUGUAUCUCUCUGCGGAAGACCGCUCAUGGUUGGAUUUAAACGCAGAAGAAUUUUUGGAAGUGGAAGACGCAAGUUACCAUCCUAAUUCCUUACAGAAUGCGGAGAUGGCGAAGCCGUCGACAGACACGGGAUUGAGUUCUGUACAUAGAAGAGUGCUGCUAGAAGCUAAGGAGGGCCGCAUCAACUUGAUAACUGAAGAGAAGAACGUCGUUAGAUCACCGAAACGCUCAAAGUCGGUGAAGAGUUCUAAGGGAGAGUUCAUUGGAGACGAACAGGUAAAGGGGUUGAUACCAAGUCUCUACGGCAGCGUAUUGUGGCGAUCGCUUGACAAGGCUCACAGAGAGAGGGUCGUGAUAAGCAGCGGCUUUGUAAUGGGAAAGAUUGAGUAUGUCCGCAAGCUCGCGAAUAAGAUGACUACCGAGAUCGUACGCAUAGCGUUGGAGAAGAAGAACCGCCGGCCUUUCCAUGACAAAGCUGUGAUCAAUUACUUAGUUCACCAGAGCUCUGUGUUGGGAAAACGUGUGCUUGACCAUCUGAAGAUAGUGCCGAACCGGAACUCGGCGGUGCAUUCUCUCCCAGGUACAAAGCAACCGCACGUGUUUUGGAAACGAAAAGGAAAGUCCACGCGCUACGCUAUCAUCCAAGGACUGGAAACGGCGAGGUCAGUUGCGGAUUCCGAGAGGAGAUGCAAGAUCACCGCUGCAAUCCACAACGACAUCUGCCGUUCUCCAGCCGAGUCGCAGGUGUAUCAGGAUUGCUAGCGCUCCGGAUCGCUCUCGAUUUGUAAACAUAUCUGUACAUUUAUUAAACUUUUGGUGUCAGAUGCUGGGGAGCCUCAUCGAAUGUUGACUGCUGAUAGCUAUUUUCUUGCAGGAAUGUUUAGAGUAGUAUUGCAUUCUCCAUUUAAGUGGCCGUUCGUUAUGAAAAGUUAUUAAGGAAUCCUUUCAUGUCAUGAAAAAGCUUCAUUGCGGCGUCUCAACUGACGAUGUUGGGAGUGCAUCCGUUCUCGUCCAUCUGCAACAGCUGAGACCCAGCUCGACCUGGACCAUUCAUCAGAACAUCUUUAGAGAUAGUUUCGGAAUUUAUUCCCUCAAAUAUUUCCCUUGAAUUGCUCCAUCCAGCUUCUACUAGCCCCGAUUCGGUCAAGCAAUUCAGAUCAUCGUAAAAAUGACCUCACAAAUAAACUUACUACACCUUCACAUGAAAUGAAUCAUUUCAUCCAGCUGUUAUCCAGCCUCACCUCUGACCUUCAUCAGAUUACCUUACAUGACAGCGUCAGUUCUGUGCCUGUAUUGCACCAUUUGUUGAACAGCCUAGCACGCUUCAUCGACUCGUCUAAAGGUCCCCAAAGCGUGCAUUGCUCUCAUAACUGACGAGGGUUGUUUAGCGUCUGCAUGUCUUGAUUUAAUACAAACAAUAGCAGGAUCUAAGCUUGCAAUCAAAACAAACAGCCAUGAAAUGCACCUAUUAGAUCGGUAGUGCACACAUUGUCUAGAAACCAUCACUGGCAUGCACAGGCUUUGUGGAUGUAUCAGUGAGGUUGUGCAAAUUUUCAGCGAAUAUAUAUGACUGUGGUGAAGGAUUCCUAUUUC